UAAGAUCUGAGGCUGACAGACCAAGAGAGACUAUCCAUAUUUGGUCGCCUUGCCCAGCCUCAGUCCAAAGAGAGACCCUGACUGUGGUGGAGCCAUGGAUCCAGACAUGGUCCUCAACAACACUUUCAGGGAGAGGACACCAUGGCCACAGGGUGCAAUGUAGGCCACUGAGAGAGCCUGAGUUGACUUCCCAGCAUCCAUAAGGAGCAGAUCGUGGCAACCUAUAAAUCCAGAGCCAGGGCAUCCACACAAUUUUCUGGCUUCCAGGGGAACUCCAAUCUCAGGAACAAAUCCAUACACCAACAACCUUAAUUAAAAGAGAAUAAAAUAUAGCCAGUC